rnacentral:tRNA from 2 species
CCGAAAAUAGCUCAGCGGUAGAGCGGGAGACUGUAGUUUCAGAGUACAUUGUUGUAGUUAUCUCUAGGUCCCUGGUUCAAAUCCGGGUUUUCGGA